UACGAAGGGGGCUAGCGUUGCUCGGAAUCACUGGGCGUAAAGGGUGCGUAGGCGGGUCUUUAAGUCAGGGGUGAAAUCCUGGAGCUCAACUCCAGAACUGCCUUUGAUACUGAAGAUCUUGAGUUUGGGAGAGGGAAGCGGAAUUCCUGGUGUAGAGGUGAAAUUCGUAGAUAUCAGGAGGAACACCGGCGGCGAAGGCGGCUUCCUGGCCCAAUACUGACGUUCAGGUACGAAAGCGUGGGUAGCAAACAGG
rnacentral:rRNA from 1 species